AUGAUGGGGUGCUCCCGGAUACCGGGUUCCCAUGGGUUAGUGGCAUGGAAACGAGUGACAAUACGGACACGGUGUAGACAAAGGGUGCAUCUCAUACAACACAAGCAUUCGUACUCGGACGCCCAUCUCGGCGGUUAUACCUUUGUAGUGUGCAUUAUCGGAGCGGUACGAGUUCGAUGUGGUGUAGGGAAAGUAGACGUUCUCGGGAUGUUCGUAGUGGAAGUAGUCGUUCUCGCAUGCUCUAGGGUCGAUGGAAGAGGUUCUCGCGACUCGGCGACGGUAGUUGUACAUGUUGGCGGUAGUCGAACUUGA
rnacentral:rRNA from 1 species